rnacentral:lncRNA from 1 species
UUCUCCCACUGCCUAAUCCUGCUUCCUCCCCACUUCUUUUAUAGGUGUUGAUCCCAAGGGCACUUCAUGAUGAAUAACCUUAACAAUAAACUGCCUCAGAGUCUUCUUCCUGGAGAAAAUAGACUGCCAUUAUUGAUGCCAGGAGUGGUUCAGGAAAGAGGAGAUGCACUCCUAAGAAUAGACUGCCUGAAAGCCCUAUGGACUGGUCUGGCAUUUGAGGUCAUGGUUCCUGUAUGCCUUCUGUUCCAUGUCAGCUGUGGUAUUGCUGGGCAUUGUUCAGCACAGAUGGGGUCACCUGGGCUGGGAUCCAGGCUGCAAGUGGUAUUCAGGUAUGCUCAGCAUUUCUUCUCAUUCUAGGACUAGUGGCUCUACCUGGUAUACUCUUCUCAUCACAGAUGACAAAAUGACAAGCAGUCAAGACAAACCAUUUACGUAUACUCAAUGCCUCUGCCUUCAUCACAUUUAAUAACAUCCUGUGAACCAAAGCAAGUCACAUGGUUCAGCCCAAAGUUAGCGGAGUAAGGAUGGAUAUUCCGCCUGCUGUGCUGGAAGGCACUGCAACGUCAUGAGACAAAAGAUUUGUAUGUAAUCCUAUUACAGUGAGGGGGUGAAGAGUUGAGAAACCUAAUCCAUUUGACUAUAGUUGUCCAGGAUGACAAAGACAAUGGUGAUAGUUAUGAUGAUGGUGAUGAUGUAAACAUGUUUUUCCCCAGCUUUCGCCAUUAAGCUUUAUUUACCCUCAAAUUUUUAUCUUUCAUGUUAAAAGCUUAAUAAUUCGGCCUUACUGGAGUGUAUUUUUUUCCAUGAGCGAUUAAAGAGCAUUAUAAUUAGGAAAAACAAAACUAAACAAAUUCCUCCUGAUUGAAAAGUACGUAAGAUAAGAUGUGCCACUCUCAAAAAGGACACAGGGCUUGGAGAUAUACUUUGAAAAUGUGAUACUCAAAUUAACAUUUUGCGUAGCCCAAGCUUUCUUAGGUUUGAGUAUUAAGGAGAGAAGACUACAGUCUCCAAUGUGUAAAUUUAGAACAGCCUUUCAAAAAAUAAAAAUACAGGCUGCGGUAAUUUGUGAAUUAGAUAGCAAGAGUGGGUCACAUUGGGAACAGGGAUUCUUUCUUCCUACUUUCAGGACACUCUCAAGACCCAGUAGCCUGAAAAUGAAGCAGGAACAAACUGCAUGUAAAUUAAAAGCAGGAGAGAACUUUAUGGUUCAGCUAGCAGAGAUAACAGAAGGCAAGUCCCACUGUUGACUUAUGAUGACUUAGCAAGACAGAUGGAGGGAGGAGUGAAAUAGUAGACCCCAUGGUAAGCGAGAGAACUGGCUCUAGUACACACACAGACACCUUACAAGAGAAGAAAAUGGAGGGGAGGAAUUUUACUGCUACUGUAGGCUGUUUUCAUGCAAAUUAGUACAUUUGGAGGAAUUACAGCUUAUGUUGUUAUUAUCGUUGCCAUUAAUACAAUUAAUCACCACUAUUAUUCAUAUAUUAAUGUUUUACUUUCAUUGAUGUGACAGAAUGGUGGACUCUGCCAAUUCUUUUGUCCAUGAAAGAAAUAUGGGUACCCAGCUCACUUUGCUUUGCUUAGGCAAAGAGAAAGGAAACAAAAUUGGAUCUAUCUUAAGAAAACAAGGAUGAAUGAUAGCUUAUCAGAUCAAUAAAAAAUUAUUGCCGUUUAAAUAAGAAUUUUCCCAAUGUACAG